rnacentral:rRNA from 1 species
AUUGAACGCUGGCGGCAGGCCUAACACAUGCAAGUCGAGCGGAUGAAGGGAGCUUGCUCCUGGAUUCAGCGGCGGACGGGUGAGUAAUGCCUAGGAAUCUGCCUGGUAGUGGGGGAUAACGUCCGGAAACGGGCGCUAAUACCGCAUACGUCCUGAGGGAGAAAGUGGGUGAUCUUCGGACCUCACGCUCUCAGAUGAGCCUAGGUCGGAUUAGCUAGUUGGUGGGGUAAAGGCCUACCAAGGCGACGAUCCGUAACUGGUCUGAGAGGAUGAUCAGUCACACUGGAACUGAGACACGGUCCAGACUCCUACGGGAGGCAGCAGUGGGGAAUAUUGGACAAUGGGCGAAAGCCUGAUCCAGCCAUGCCGCGUGUGUGAAGAAGGUCUUCGGAUUGGAAAGCACUUUAAGUUGGGAGGAAGGGCAGUAAGUUAAUACCUUGCUGUUUUGACGUUACCAACAGAAUAAGCACCGGCUAACUUCGUG